rnacentral:rRNA from 1 species
GAAUAUUGGUCAAUGGGCGAGAGCCUGAACCAGCCAUGCCGCGUGCAGGAAGACGGCGUUCUGCGUUGUAAACUGCUUUUCUACAGGAAGAAAAAGCCCUUGCGAGGGAUAUUGCCGGUACUGUAGGAAUAAGCACCGGCUAACUCCGUGCCAGCAGCCGCGGUAAUACGGAGGGUGCAAGCGUUGUCCGGAUUCAUUGGGUUUAAAGGGUGCGUAGGCGGGUUAUUAAGUCAGUGGUGAAAGCCAACAGCUCAACUGUCGAACUGCCAUUGAUACUGGUAACCUUGAAUUCAGUUGAGGUAGGCGGAAUUGAUGGUGUAGCGGUGAAAUGCAUAGAUACCAUCAGGAACACCGAUUGCGAAGGCAGCUUACUGGGCUUGAAUUGACGCUGAGGCACGAAAGCGUGGGGAUCGAACAGGA